GUGCCUAAUACAUGCAAGUCGAGCGGACAGAUGGGAGCUUGCUCCCUGAUGUUAGCGGCGGACGGGUGAGUAACACGUGGGUAACCUGCCUGUAAGACUGGGAUAACUCCGGGAAACCGGGGCUAAUACCGGAUGGUUGUUUGAACCGCAUGGUUCAGACAUAAAAGGUGGCUUCGGCUACCACUUACAGAUGGACCCGCGGCGCAUUAGCUAGUUGGUGAGGUAACGGCUCACCAAGGCAACGAUGCGUAGCCGACCUGAGAGGGUGAUCGGCCACACUGGGACUGAGACACGGCCCAGACUCCUACGGGAGGCAGCAGUAGGGAAUCUUCCGCAAUGGACGAAAGUCUGACGGAGCAACGCCGCGUGAGUGAUGAAGGUUUUCGGAUCGUAAAGCUCUGUUGUUAGGGAAGAACAAGUGCCGUUCAAAUAGGGCGGCACCUUGACGGUACCUAACCAGAAAGCCACGGCUAACUACGUGCCAGCA
rnacentral:rRNA from 1 species